UGGCGAACGGGUGAGUAACGCGUGAGGAACCUGCCUCAAAGAGGGGGACAACAGUUGGAAACGACUGCUAAUACCGCAUAAGCCCACGGGUCGGCAUCGACCUGAGGGAAAAGGAGCAAUCCGCUUUGAGAUGGCCUCGCGUCCGAUUAGCUAGUUGGUGAGGUAACGGCCCACCAAGGCGACGAUCGGUAGCCGGACUGAGAGGGUGACCGGCCACAUUGGGACUGAGACACGGCCCAA
rnacentral:rRNA from 1 species